CGAGGACGAACGCUGGCGGCGUGCUUAACACAUGCAAGUCGAACGGAACACCCUUGACAGAGGUUCGGCCAAUGAAGAGGAAUGUUUAGUGGCGGACUGGUGAGUAACGCGUGAGGAACCUGCCUUUCAGAGGGGGACAACAGUUGGAAACGACUGCUAAUACCGCAUGAAGCAGCGAGGGGACAUCCCCUUGCUGUCAAAGAUUUAUCGCUGAAAGAUGGCCUCGCGUCUGAUUAGCUAGUUGGUGGGGUAACGGCCCACCAAGGCGACGAUCAGUAGCCGGACUGAGAGGUUGACCGGCCACAUUGGGACUGAGAUACGGCCCAGACUCCUACGGGAGGCAGCAGUGGGGAAUAUUGGGCAAUGGACGCAAGUCUGACCCAGCAACGCCGCGUGAAGGAAGAAGGCUUUCGGGUUGUAAACUUCUUUUAACAGGGAAGAGAAGAAGACGGUACCUGUUGAAUAAGCCACGGCUAACUACGUGCCAGCCGCCGC
rnacentral:rRNA from 1 species